UUCUGGUUAUCCUGGAGUCUAUCUUACUGUUACAGGUAACUGCUCAUAAUAAACUCUCUGUAGUGCAGCACUCAUUAUACUGAAGCAUUAUAGCUCGAGUAGGAGUCUGAUAUCAAUACGACUGCGAUAAGAGGUUUAGGUAAUACUUUACCAAUUGAGCUAUAUCAAAAAUAUGAGGCUUUGAAAAGUAGUUGACAUGAACUGUGUUUUAUAAAAUCUCAGGUACACGAGUGAUAAGCAGUCCAGACCCUGUGAUAGAUGGGGAAAAAGUGAUAUUAAGCUGUUCAACAGGAUGCACUCUGGAUAACAAACAUACUUACAUCUGGUAUAAGAAUGGACAACAGGUAACAGAUGGAUUGACAUUAUUAAACAAGCUGUACCUGGACUCAAUCAACAGUGAGGAGCUACAAGAGUAUUCCUGUACUGUAAGAGAUACAAUGGACAAAACAAAUGCUUAAAUACAUAAAACUGUAUGAUACUGAUUAAAACAAGGCUUGGCUUUCUGAAGGUUUGCUACUGUAAAUGUUUUAAUAAAGCUUUAUUAAUCCUGCAUUUCUGAGAUAUUUUUCCACAUAUUAUAUUUGUAUUAAGACAUUCAUAAUCGUCAGAUAAAUGUUAUCUUUUGAAUAUAUUUCUCUGUUUUCUGUUUUGACUGCAGUAUGUGGUAACACUUUCUAUGAAGUCUGUGUUUAUAAUGCAUUAUUGCAGGUAUAUUCCCUUAUAAUAAACAUUAUUAUACUGUAUGUUGUAUUCUCUAAUCAAUAAUCAUUACAACAGUUACAAUA